rnacentral:tRNA from 1 species
UCCUUGGUGGCUCAAACAGUAAAGUGUCUGCCUGCAAUGCAGGAGACCUGGGUUUGAUUCCUGGGUCGGGAA